CCCGGGACCUGAUCCACUGGUUCUACCUCCCCCUCGCCAUGGUUCCCGACCGCUGGUACGACGCCAACGGCGUCUGGACCGGCUCCGCCACCUUCCUCCCCGACGGCCGCAUCGCCAUGCUCUACACCGGUUCCACCAACGCCUCCGUGCAGGUCCAGAACCUCGCCUUUCCGGCCAACUCCUCCGACCCCCUCCUCCUCGACUGGGUCAAGUACGACGCCGGCAACCCGGUGCUCGUCCCGCCGGCGGGCAUCUCCACGGUCGACUUCCGCGACCCGACGACGGCCUGGUACAGCGCCGGCGACGGCGCAUGGCGGCUCGCCAUCGGGUCCAAGGACGCGCAGAAGACCGGCAUCGCGCUCGUCUACGCCACCAGGGACUUCAUCUCCUACGACCUCCUCGACGGCGUCCUCCACGCCGUCCCCCGAACCGGCAUGUGGGAGUGCGUGGACUUCUACCCGGUGGCACUGGAGGGGGUCAACGGUCUGGACACGUCGGCGAACGGCCCCGGAGUGAAGCACGUCCUCAAAGCCAGCCUCGACGACGACAAGCACGACUACUACGCCAUCGGCACCUACGACCUGGCGGCGAACAAGUGGACUCCCGACGACCCGGAGGCCGACGUGGGGAUCGGCCUCCGCGUUGACUACGGCAAGUACUACGCCUCGAAGACCUUCUACGACCAGAACAAGCAGCGGCGGCUGCUGUGGGGGUGGAUCGGCGAGACGGACAGCGAGAGCACCGAUCUCAAGAAGGGCUGGGCUUCCGUCCAG
rnacentral:lncRNA from 1 species